GAUGAACGCUAGCGACAGGCUUAACACAUGCAAGUCGAGGGGCAGCGGGGAUGUAGCUUGCUAUAUCUGCCGGCGACCGGCGCACGGGUGAGUAACACGUAUGCAACCUGCCCAUUGCAGGGGGAUAAGCAGAAGAAAUUCUGUCUAAUACCGCGUAAUAUGAGAUUGAGGCAUCUCGGUUUCAUUAAAGAUUUAUCGGCAAUGGAUGGGCAUGCGGCGCAUUAGCUAGUUGGCGGGGUAACGGCCCACCAAGGCGACGAUGCGUAGGGGUUCUGAGAGGAAGGUCCCCCACACUGGUACUGAGACACGGACCAGACUCCUACGGGAGGCAGCAGUGAGGAAUAUUGGUCAAUGGUCUGACGACUGAACCAGCCAUGCCGCGUGAAGGUCACGGCCCUAUGGGUCUUAAACUUCUUUUGUUAGGGAGCAAUAAGUCUCACGUGUGGGAUGAUGAGAGUACCUAACGAAUAAGCAUCGG
rnacentral:rRNA from 1 species